rnacentral:rRNA from 1 species
UUAAGCGACUAAGCGUACACGGUGGAUGCCCUGGCAGUCAGAGGCGAUGAAGGACGUGCUAAUCUGCGAUAAGCGUCGGUAAGGUGAUAUGAACCGUUAUAACCGGCGAUUUCCGAAUGGGGGAAACCCAGUGUGUUUCGACACACUAUCAUUAACUGAAUCCAUAGGUUAAUGAGGCGAACCGGGGGAACUGAAACAUCUAAGUACCCCGAGGAAAAGAAAUCAACCGAGAUUCCCCCAGUAGCGGCGAGCGAACGGGGAGCAGCCCAGAGCCUGAAUCAGUGUGUGUGUUAGUGGAAGCGUCUGGAAAGGCGCGCGAUACAGGGUGACAGCCCGUACACAAAAAUGCACAUGCUGUGAGCUCGAUGAGUAGGGCGGGACACGUGGUAUCCUGUCUGAAUAUGGGGGGACCAUCCUCCAAGGCUAAAUACUCCUGACUGACCGAUAGUGAACCAGUACCGUGAGGAAAGGCGAAAAGAACCCCGGCGAGGGGUGAAAAAGAACCUGAAACCGUGUACGUACAAGCAGUGGGAGCACGCUUAGGCGUGUGACUGCGUACCUUUGUAUAAUGGGUCAGCGACUUAUAUUCUGUAGCAAGGUUAACCGAAUAGGGGAGCCGAAGGGAAACCGAGUCUUAACUGGGCGUUAAGUUGCAGGGUAUAGACCCGAAACCCGGUGAUCUAGCCAUGGGCAGGUUGAAGGUUGGGUAACACUAACUGGAGGACCGAACCGACUAAUGUUGAAAAAUUAGCGGAUGACUUGUGGCUGGGGUGAAAGGCCAAUCAAACCGGGAGAUAGCUGGUUCUCCCCGAAAGCUAUUUAGGUAGCGCCUCGUGAAUUCAUCUCCGGGGGUAGAGCACUGUUUCGGCAAGGGGGUCAUCCCGACUUACCAACCCGAUGCAAACUGCGAAUACCGGAGAAUGUUAUCACGGGAGACACACGGCGGGUGCUAACGUCCGUCGUGAAGAGGGAAACAACCCAGACCGCCAGCUAAGGUCCCAAAGUCAUGGUUAAGUGGGAAACGAUGUGGGAAGGCCCAGACAGCCAGGAUGUUGGCUUAGAAGCAGCCAUCAUUUAAAGAAAGCGUAAUAGCUCACUGGUCGAGUCGGCCUGCGCGGAAGAUGUAACGGGGCUAAACCAUGCACCGAAGCUGCGGCAGCGACGCUGAUGCGUUGUUGGGUAGGGGAGCGUUCUGUAAGCCUGCGAAGGUGUGCUGUGAGGCAUGCUGGAGGUAUCAGAAGUGCGAAUGCUGACAUAAGUAACGAUAAAGCGGGUGAAAAGCCCGCUCGCCGGAAGACCAAGGGUUCCUGUCCAACGUUAAUCGGGGCAGGGUGAGUCGACCCCUAAGGCGAGGCCGAAAGGCGUAGUCGAUGGGAAACAGGUUAAUAUUCCUGUACUUGGUGUUACUGCGAAGGGGGGACGGAGAAGGCUAUGUUGGCCGGGCGACGGUUGUCCCGGUUUAAGCGUGUAGGCUGGUUUUCCAGGCAAAUCCGGAAAAUCAAGGCUGAGGCGUGAUGACGAGGCACUACGGUGCUGAAGCAACAAAUGCCCUGCUUCCAGGAAAAGCCUCUAAGCAUCAGGUAACAUCAAAUCGUACCCCAAACCGACACAGGUGGUCAGGUAGAGAAUACCAAGGCGCUUGAGAGAACUCGGGUGAAGGAACUAGGCAAAAUGGUGCCGUAACUUCGGGAGAAGGCACGCUGAUAUGUAGGUGAAGUCCCUCGCGGAUGGAGCUGAAAUCAGUCGAAGAUACCAGCUGGCUGCAACUGUUUAUUAAAAACACAGCACUGUGCAAACACGAAAGUGGACGUAUACGGUGUGACGCCUGCCCGGUGCCGGAAGGUUAAUUGAUGGGGUUAGCCGCAAGGCGAAGCUCUUGAUCGAAGCCCCGGUAAACGGCGGCCGUAACUAUAACGGUCCUAAGGUAGCGAAAUUCCUUGUCGGGUAAGUUCCGACCUGCACGAAUGGCGUAAUGAUGGCCAGGCUGUCUCCACCCGAGACUCAGUGAAAUUGAACUCGCUGUGAAGAUGCAGUGUACCCGCGGCAAGACGGAAAGACCCGUGAACCUUUACUAUAGCUUGACACUGAACAUUGAGCCUUGAUGUGUAGGAUAGGUGGGAGGCUUAGAAGUGUGGACGCCAGUCUGCAUGGAGCCGACCUGAAAUACCACCCUUUAAUGUUUGAUGUUCUAACGUUGACCCGUAAUCGGGUUGCGGACAGUGUCUGGUGGGUAGUUUGACUGGGGCGGUCUCCUCCUAAAGAGUAACGGAGGAGCACGAAGGUUGGCUAAUCCUGGUCGGACAUCAGGAGGUUAGUGCAAUGGCAUAAGCCAGCUUGACUGCGAGCGUGACGGCGCGAGCAGGUGCGAAAGCAGGUCAUAGUGAUCCGGUGGUUCUGAAUGGAAGGGCCAUCGCUCAACGGAUAAAAGGUACUCCGGGGAUAACAGGCUGAUACCGCCCAAGAGUUCAUAUCGACGGCGGUGUUUGGCACCUCGAUGUCGGCUCAUCACAUCCUGGGGCUGAAGUAGGUCCCAAGGGUAUGGCUGUUCGCCAUUUAAAGUGGUACGCGAGCUGGGUUUAGAACGUCGUGAGACAGUUCGGUCCCUAUCUGCCGUGGGCGCUGGAGAACUGAGGGGGGCUGCUCCUAGUACGAGAGGACCGGAGUGGACGCAUCACUGGUGUUCGGGUUGUCAUGCCAAUGGCACUGCCCGGUAGCUAAAUGCGGAAGAGAUAAGUGCUGAAAGCAUCUAAGCACGAAACUUGCCCCGAGAUGAGUUCUCCCUGACUCCUUGAGAGUCCUGAAGGAACGUUGAAGACGACGACGUUGAUAGGCCGGGUGUGUAAGCGCAGCGAUGCGUUGAGCUAACCGGUACUAAUGAACCGUGAGGCUUAACCU